AUUGAACGCUGGCGGCAGGCCUAACGCAUGCAAGUCGAGCGGAUGAAGGGAGCUUGCUCCUGGAUUCAGCGGCGGACGGGUGAGUAAUGCCUGGGAAUCUGCCUGGUAGUGGGGGAUAACGUCCGGAAACGGGCGCUAAUACCGCAUACGCCCUGAGGGAGAAAGUGGGGGAUCUUCGGACCUCACGCUAUCAGAUGAGCCUAGGUCGGAUUAGCUAGUUGGUGGGGUAAAGGCCUACCAAGGCGACGAUCCGUAACUGGUCUGAGAGGAUGAUCAGUCACACUGGAACUGAGACACGGUCCAGACUCCUACGGGAGGCAGCAGUGGGGAAUAUUGGACAAUGGGCGAAAGCCUGAUCCAGCCAUGCCGCGUGUGUGAAGAAGGUCUUCGGAUUGUAAAGCACUUUAAGUUGGGAGGAAGGGCAGUAAGUUAAUACCUUGCUGUUUUGACGUUACCAACAGAAUAAGCACCGGCUAACUUCGUG
rnacentral:rRNA from 1 species